GCCGCGGUAAUUCCAGCUCCAAUAGCGUAUAUUAACGUUGUUGCAGUUAAAAAGCUCGUAGUUGAAGUGUGGGUGGUGCCAUCUGUGAAGCUUCGGCUUCUAGGAUACUCACUACCCCCUUCCAGUAUCCAGUAGUGGGUAUUCAGUUACUUACUAUUGUGUGUUGGUCCUUUACUGUGAGAAAAUUAGAGUGUUCAAAGCAGGCGUUUGCUUGAAUAGAUUAGCAUGGAAUAAUAAUUGAAGGCUUUCGUGUUCGAUUUGAUUGGUUUGUUCAUGGAAGCAAGGUUAAAAGGAACAGUUGGGGGUAUUCAUAUUCACUAGUUAGAGGUGAAAUUCUCGGAUUUAUGGAAGAUGAACAAGUGCGAAAGCAUUUACCAAGGAUGUUUUCAUUAAUCAAGAACGAAAG
rnacentral:rRNA from 1 species